CCUGGGUAGUGUGCAAAGUUGCUAUGCAAAGAGGGCUCUCUAUAAUGCUUCCUCGCUCCCCCUGACUUGCUGGUCUGGAUUCAAUGCUUUCAUGACAGGCAGGAGCAAGAAAACCAAUGUUGCUCUGGCAAGUUUGUUGGAGAAGACAAAAUGAGAAGACUGUGCUUAGAGUUACACUGAAUCGGAUUUGGAGAGUCCUGCUCAGGUGAGACAUCUGAUGAAGGUCAGAGCAGAACAAAUAGAAUUGUGAUAAGGCCAGCAAAAAAGGUAAAUUAAUUAAAAUUAAAAAUCCUGUGAUUUUUUUUAAAAUGAGGGGUGGUAUAUAGAUUAUACAGCCAUAGCUAUGUUUAGGAAACCUUCCUGGUAGUUCCACCACCCUCAAAAGUUUGGGGUAUAAUGGCCUGGGAGAGGGCAUUCCUUCCCCACAGUGCUAUGUCUGGCAUCUUAUUUAAGUAGUUUUUACUUUAAUGUUGUAUUUUUACAUUGCUGUUAUCCACCCUGGUAACUUUCAGGGAAUGGGAGGUAAGAAAUAAUCAUCAUCAUCAUCAUUAUCAUCAUAAUCAUAAUAAUCAUCUAACAAUCCACCUAUUUAUCCAUUCAUUUUAUGAAAGCAACGGUUGCUGUUAUUACUUCUAGGUUUCCAGGGCUUAUGGCUGGAAGACAACAAUCACUUUUUCCACUCAUAGGUCAAAACUUGUAAUUCUCUUGUACUAGAGUUGGCCUUGAAUUUUGCCUAAAGGAAAAAGUUCAAGGCAAAGUAGAUGUUGACUAGUGAUGGAGACAUCGGGUGAGUUCAGGAUGUGAACUUUUCCAGUUCACAAUUCUUCACCUCAGCUUGAAGCAAGCUCAGAUUUUGCAGUCUCUCCCCACCCCUAAAGGUGUAUUUUACUGAAAAGCAAAAUCAGGAGCCUCCUCCUUCACCUCAUGUACUUUGGCUCUCAGGCAAGUCAUCUGAAGAGUUCUGAAGGAAUUUGGGGGCUAAUGGGAUAUGUAGUCUAAGAUAGUUGUCCUCCACCAGUUCUAGAGUUGCAGAAGAUGGUGGAGGACAAGGAGAUGACCCAUUCUGAAGAGGUACACUAUAUUAGUAAUGAUAUGGAGGAUAAUAAUAAUCCAUAGGAACACGGAAAGCUGCCUAAGAGCCAGAUCAUUGAUCCAUAUAUGUUCAGUAUUGUUGACACUCACUAACAGCUAUUCUUCAGAGUUUCAGUCAGGGGUCUACCUGGGGAAUGAACCUGAGACCUUCUGCACGUAAAGCAGAUGUUCUACCACUGAGCUACAGUCCUUCCCCGAAAUUUGCACACCACAUUUGCAGGCAAAGUGCCCAUUUGCUGUAGUGGAGUAGCCCCUACCAUGGCUGAGGAUUUGGUGAAUUGUGUGGAAGAAAUAUAUAUAUACAUACAGUACAAACAUACAUACAUACAUACUGUACAAACACACAUACAUACAUAUAUACAUACAGUACAUGUAAAAAAAUAAUCUACCUGUCUAUCGAUCUACACAUAAAUAAAUACAUGUAUAAAAGAAAACAAUCUUUGGUUUACCUUUCCAUCUUCCUAGGGAUAGGAAACUUCAUGGCAGGAUGAAGAAAAUGAGUUUAUUAAGUUGACUCUAGCAAACGACUCGGGGAUCUGGAUGAAGCUCCUUGAGCUAUGUCAACAUUUUCUUGAAAGAUAUCAGAGAUUAUUUGAUGUUUACUUUUUUAAGUACGGGUAUUUGUAAGUUUUUUUUUAGAAAAAAAAAUGCCAAGGAGCAUUUUAUUACAUUUUAAAAUGUAAUUCCUGAUCCCAAGGUGCUGUCUAUAUAAAUCUCAACAAACCUACAAAAUCGCUAUCUAUAUUAGAUCAGCAAAUCCUCUCAGGCCCAGCGCUGGGCAGUGUGUUAAGAAUAAGAGGCAGAAGUGAAAUUCCUUGGUAAUAAAACUUCUGAGCCCUGACAAGUGUAUGGGAAUGCCAUUUCGUGCAAUGAUGCCUGGACUUUCAUAUCACACCGUCCUUUAUUCUAUCUGUUCUGUUCUUCUUCCCCUUAACCUCGGUUUCUUAACUGCACAGCUCACCAGGAUCUCAGGGAAAGGAAAUAUACUUAAUUCAAGGUUCUGGUUUUAUCCUAUAAAGCGUACAGGAAAAAUCUCAAACCCAGGAGCUGAAUCUGGCCCUGAAAGACUCUCUAUAUGGCUCUCAGAACUACUCACCCUAUUUUUGCCUGUCUUUGGUGUGUGUCCUUGAACCCUUGCUUGAUAGUGGCUCUUGCUUGUCUGGUUGGCAGAUAGAGAGGCGUCUGUGUGUGUGUGUGUGUGUGUGUGUGUGUGUGUGAGUGUAGAAACUAGCCUACAAUGCAACAGUAAAAUUGCCCUCUUUCUCCUCUGGCCCCACCCACCACUGGCAUGUGGCCCUCAGAUUGAAAAAGUGACACAGUAAACAUCAUUAAACAAUGCUGCUGCUCUGUCCCCUUUCUGCACAUGCAUGCUUCUGUUCCUUUACCAUUCCCCCAUGAAAACUGUAUACUGUACCUGGUAUACUACCCAAAUUUCAUGACUUUACUUGGGUGAUUUCCUAGGGUUCCAAACAGACCCCCCCGAAACAAUUAACAUGGAAAUAAGUGCCAACGUUCCACUAGAAUUUUGGAAGUGGAUUCUGAAAGCUCAAAUAUAAUGUGUAAAUUAACAGUUUGGGAAAGAUCAGAGUAACGGAAUAAACUGCUGUGUGAAUGCAGCCUUGUUGACCUCUCCCAAUUGGAAAGAGAGUAUAUGUAUAGCCAAAGGGAAGAUUCUGUUUCCUUACCAUUAAAUAUUCUUGAAAUUUUUGAGCAAAAGAAUAAAUGAUGGUGCUGGUAGGGCUAUGCUCCCCUUAUUGGACUUGAGGCCACAGCAAAUGGCCAACCUCACCACCCUCUGUAGUCUUCUUCCAGGGAGUGGUGGAAAUAUUUUUGCAAUGCAUUGAACAUGGUAAUUGUAAACAUGCUGGAAAAUGCUCUUCCUAUUUUCCUGCAGCUGCCUCUGAUUCAAACUGGUGACCUUAGCAAAGUAGCAACACGUGUUUAUUGAAGAAGGAAAAAAAAGAAGGAAAGAAAGGGAGGGAGGGAGAGAACAGAGGGAUCAUCUAUCGCUGGGAUGAAAGACAGAGACAAAAUCUCCAAUCUGUAAUGCAGAUUUAUUAACAGUCAUUCACUGGUUUUCACUGAAAUACUCUUCACAUAACCUUGACUUUAUUAAGUAGUCCUUAAGGUGCAUUUUGAAGACAGAUAAUGAGUUUGGGGAAUAGGCUUAUCUACAUCAAGCUAAUCUUUAACAGCUUGGAAAGGAACUUGGAGGAACUUCUUCCACUUCUCGCGGAAUCACAGUCAUUAUUUUUUUUACAAAAAAAAAAUCAAGUUUGUUUUAAAAAAAGCAAAAAACCUGUCAGCUUUAAUAGGAAGAGUUUAUUGAGCACAACUCUGUUUUUAUAGGUCCAUACACUGGGGGAAGAGGGAAGAAUUAGGAGGAUAAGAUGGAUGGGUAUUGGAUUUGCGAUAGUGUUAGAUAUUCCAGCAGUAACAGAAAAAUGUGGGUAAAUACUGACACAUGAGCAGUAAGGCACCAUACAACCCACAAUGUGCAAUUCCAAACACUGCUGUUGGCAAAGUAUAUUUUGAACUCUUCGUAAUAUAUUGUAGGAUAACAAUAUUUUUUUCCCAGCGUUAUUAGCAAAGUCACCUUCUUGCAUUCCAAAUUGGUGGAGAAGGGCUAUUUCAUUUCAUUCCAUUCCAUCUAGCAACUAACAAAAUGAAUUCCACGAAGGACAAAUGUAAGGUUCUGUACUUAGGCAGGACUAAUCAGAUGAACAAAUGUAGGAUGGGGAACACCUGGUUUGAGAGCAGUACAUGUGAAAAGGAUCUAGAGGUCUUAGUAGACCACAAGCUUAACAUGAGUUGAUACAUACGCAUCAGAGAAAGAACAUGCAUUUAAACCACCUAAGACACAUGGGAGCAUGUGGAAUGAUAUUUUUUAAAACCAGCAACUGUAGAAAUAAUUUUUGAUUUGAUUAUAUUACUAAUGUAAUUACCUGGAUGUAGUUGGGGCUGGGGGAGCAGCUAGAGGAAAACUGAAUUUGAUUGGUUGUAUUUGAUUAUAAGUUGUUCUUAUAAUCAACUAAUAAAAUAUUCAAAAAACAACCACCACCAUGAGUUGACAGUGUUAUGCAACAGCAAAAAACUGAAUAACAAACUAACUAACGCAAUUCCAGACUGCAUCAAGAGAAGUAUAAUGUCCAGAACUGGACACAAUUUAAGAAGGAUAUUGACAAGCUGGAACAUAUGCAGAGGAGGACAACCAAUAUGAUUGAAGGUCUGGAAACCAAGCCUUAUGUGGAAUGGUUGAAAGAGUUGGGUAUGUGUAUCCUGGAGAAGAGAAGACUAAGAAGUGAUAUGAUAGCCAUCUUCAAAUUUCUGAAGGGCUGUCAUAUGAAAGAUGGAGCAAGCUCAUUUUGUGUUUCUCCAAAGGGGAGGACCCAAACAAUGGAUUCAAAUUAUAAAAAAGGAUAUUAUGACUAAAUAUUAGGAAGAAUUUUCUGAUGGCAAGAGCUGUUUGACAGUGGGAUAGACUACCUUGGGAUGUAGUGGAUUUUCCUUCAUUGGAGGCUUUUAAGCAGAACUUGGAUGGCCAUCUGUUGGGGUUUAUUUAGCUGUGAUUUCUGAUUGCAAGGGGUGGAAUAAAUGACCUUUGGGAUCACUUCCAAAUCUGCAAUUUCACAGUUGUACUAGAUAUUUUAGGAAGCUGUUUGUCUCUUCUAUGCAUCUGGAGACCUUUGAAGAUGUCUUAACCCAACUUGAUGUGAUGUUUCCUGGGAUCAGGGAGGAGGUAUUGGAUACCCUUGGGCACUAUUUUGAAUUAGGAUGGCAAACUGAACCUAUGAAGCCUGCACCAAUGUUAAUCAAAUUUUGUAUGCUGGUUCCUGUGAUCAAGGAGCAGGGUUUGGAUACAAUCUGAUUCAAAAUGGUGGACUGAAUUAUUCAAAUCUGCAUGCAUUUAGACACCUCUUACAAUAUCACAACUAUUUUUGUGUGUGUAAUGGUUCCUGAGAUCAUGGAAUAGGUUUUCUUCUGUGUUUGGCUACCAGUGGACACCAUUUUGAAUCAAGAUGGCAGAUUGUACCUUUCUAAACUGCACUGCUCCCUCCCCCCAAAUUCCUGAUCAGCAUUGUUUACAAGGCUGCUAGUAGUUAAUUUAUAAGCAAAACAGAGCCUUUCCUUCAUUUAAAAUAGAGGGGGGAUGCUUAGCAAUAGUUUUUGGGGUGAGAAAAGUCUCUGCAUUGAAUAUUAGCAGUAAAGAUGGGCAAAGCUGUUAAUUUCAUCCCGUUUCAGCCUUGCUGGCACUCUGUCAUAGAUUGUUCAAUCUCCUUGCACCCAUACAUACAUACAUACAUACCUAAAUGCAUAUGUAUUGCAUACUUUUUCAAUGUUUUUCAAUGUAUUUGCCAGCAAAGUACGCCUGUUGUGUUUGUUGUUCACAGAAAGUAUACAUUUUGUGUGCAUUUUUUGCACAUGAAUAGUACAUUGAAAAAUUCAGAGGAGUGCACAGUCUGACUAGGAUUUGCAUUCUAGUGAAAUUGGGUUGGCCUGUCCUAGUUAGAAGGAAUGAGACAGAUAAAUAGAUCGAUGGAUAGAUGGGCAGAUCAAAACAAUUCCUUUGCUAGGAAAAAAGCCUGUGUAAAACCCAGUACAUUUUUGCAAAUUCCAGGCUAGUUGGCUUUUGAACAGAUGUGUCAUUUGAAGGCAAAGCCUCAUUUGGUCUGGUGAGCUUGCCCUGGUUUUGAAUCCCAGCUGCUGGUGUACAAAACCAUAAAUUGGCUCGGGCUUGCUUGAACGACUCCUGAACUUUUCAGGGAACCUUUUGAUGAACCUGCUCUGGAUUUUGGGCUGGGGGGGGGGAGGCGUGCUCAGAAGGCAAUCAUGAAAGCUAACACCAGGUGAGGUUCACUCAGAGCCAAACGUUUUCAUGAGCUAUGGGUUGGGAAAGGAAGGAGGGGGGCAUCUUUCUAAUUAGAAAGCAGAGUCUAAAGCUAAGAGACAUUAACAAGCCCUGGCUACUGUCUGACCAGCAGUAAAUCCCAGAAUUGAUUUAGUUCUAAGUUUCUAAAAAGUUUAGUGCACAAAAAAAGCUUGCUCUUUUUUUGAGACAGAGAGAGAGGGCAGGACAACUUCUUAAAAGCUCAAGGGGAGCAGGGGAAAGGAAGCUCUUGUAAGCAGACCCUCAGAAAUGCCAUUUUGAUUUAACCUUAUUGUCCUAGAAAGGAAGGAUUGCAUCUGCAAACAUACCUUUCUUUGCUGCUUUUGUCAAUAGCAAAGUUGUUUUGCUAAUGGUUAUCUGCUAACAAGUCCUUGACCUGCUUGUAAACACUUUUUUUUUUUUUUUGCCGGAAAACCUCAGGCCGUGGCCUCGGGCCUUUGCGUCAACAACAAGAGAUAAAGUGACCACAACUUAACCUGCUCUGGCCUGGAGUGCCCUCUGCUGCCCCUUGACCAAGUGACUUUCUAAUCUGUGUCCUUCUGAAAGGAAUGGGGAGCUUAUAAGGGUGGGCCAGAGACUGGGAAAGAUGCAUUAGCUAGGAGGAAAUCAAUUUCCUUUACAGUCUUUCCCAUCCUCUUUCAGUGGGAAGCACUUAAUUGAAAGUGGUGGGUGAUUAAAUACCCAAGAGUAGGAUGGGGUGUCUAUGUUUUGGAGAAAACACUUCCCUAACACCUUGUUCUUUCAUUCACUCCCACUAUAUAUGAGAACUGCACAUGGUGGGAUCCACCCAAAAGUAUAAUUUCUGCAACCAGAAUAUUGAAGAUUCUGCAAUCAGAACGAAUACAGGGGACUUUUGGAGGAGGAGAAUUGGGAGAGGAAAAUGAAAUGACAAUCAAGGCCAGCCCUACCAUGAGGCAUUGGGUUUCAAAAGCAAAUUGAGAGGGGCAGAAGAACGCUUAUCCACUUCCACUAUCUAUUGUUGCCUCCUGCCACCCUACCAUUUCCAUUCUACCUUUGGAGGCAAACUGACACUCAUCUCUGGAAUCUCAGCAACAGGGAACUGGCACUUCAAAUUCCCCAAAUUAAACAUCUUUUGAAGUUAAAGGAUUCGGUAAAUUCAUGGAGGAUGUGGUUUAUCAGUGGCCACUAAACCUGAUGGAUAUGUUCUACAUCCACUGUAUAAUGAGUGAAAACAAUGGAGGACUUCUGAGAAGGAAUGGGGAGAUGAAAUGGUGGUCAAAGCCUUGAUCAAAGGGAUGGAGCGAGUCUCCUAAGAGGAACAGUUGCAGCAUUUUGGGGACUUUGUAGUUUAAGGAAAAGGCAAGUAAGAGGAGGCAUGAUCAUCUAAAUUUAUGCAUAGCAUGGAGAAAGUGGAUUGAGAAAAGCUUUUCUCCCUCUCUCACAACACUAGAUCUCAUGGACGUCCAAUAAAGCAGAACGUUAAAAGAUUCAGGACAUAUAAAAAUGAACUUCUUCAUGCACUACAUAGUCAUUCUGUGGAGCACUCCUGCAGGAGGUAGUGAUGGCCCCCAAAUUUAAAAGGCUAUAAGAAAAGAUUAGACAAAUUCAUAGAGAACAAGUCUGUAAAUUGCUGCUAGCUACAAUGGAGGCUAUGUUCUGCCUCCACAGUCAGAGCAGUGUGCUUCUGAAUGCCAGUUGCUAGCAACUGUAGAGCAGGGAGAAUGCUCUUAUGUUUAGAUCUUGCUUUACAGCCUUCUCACUGACAUCUGGUCAGCCACUGUGAGAACAGGAUGCUGGACUAGAUGGGUCAUUGGUUUGACCCAGCAUGCUCUUCUUAUGUUCCUUGAUGGGAAGAAGCUUCCUUGCUUUGUGGUUGAGCACCUGCUCUGCAUGCAGAAGGCCCAAAGUUUAAUCCCCAAGUAGAACUGGGCAAGAUUCCUGUCUGAGCCCCCGGAGAACUGCUGCCAUCUGGGGUUGUCAGUGCUGAGCUAGAUGGGUUGACUUUGUCUAAGACAGCUUCCUCUGUUCCUACCAUGGAAUGAGCCCUUAGGAGCUAUAUCUUCCAUGUGUUGAAUUGUGGAGUGAUGGUGGCAUCAGAUGAAAUUUCUCUGCAUUUUCUCUAUCAUGGUAAGGUCGGAAGCAUAAGCAGAAAAUGUGGAGCACCCCAGAGCUUUCCUUGCUAGCAACAAAUAAGGAACAUUCCACAGGGACUGUAACUGGAUUCUCUAAGCAUAUUCAGGUAUUGGAGUAUAUUUCACUGUUAUAUUCAUAUUGUCAAUAAUGGGACCUUUCUGCAGGAAAUGAGGACUCUUUCUGUAAACAUAAUAAUAUUUGGAAGAGGGGAAAAAAGCACAGCAAAUGUUGGACCACCAAAAAAGAAAAAGAAAAAAUUAAAUUGCUGGAGUAUUCCCUGGUCAGCAAAACUUACCCAGGGAACGCUUAGUUUCAUUCAGUUUGCUGAAUCGGUAGUUUUGCGCUUUUUUAAAAAAAGCAGUGACUUUUCAGAUUCAUGAGGGUAUGGAAGGCAAUCUUCAUAUUUAUAAGGACAAGCUGUCAACUUGUUUUCCAUAAUUUAUAAACUCCUUAAAACAAAAAAAAAGGGGGGGGCUUCACUUUCCUACUGUUGGAAUGAUGGAAAUGACCUGUAAAUGCAACAGGGGAGACUUAGGGCAGGACCAGCCAGAUUUAAGGACUUCAAAGACUCUUUAAUGUCAGUGGAAGGGUUAAGCAUGUGCUGAAAUCCCUCCUGCUGAGAUCAGCUUAAAAGUGCAUUGCCAUGACAGUAUCAUGCCUCUGCUUUCAAUGAUGAUGAUGAUGAGCCUGCUUUUCUGAAACCCCUUAGAGCAGCUAACAUUACAAAACACAAUAAUCAAAGAAUUACAGUUUAAGAGUUAGAACUUAAUCAAAGCAUAGAGUAGCAACAACAGAGAGAGUCUUUUCGGGUUGUUGGCCUGUGAACAUAAGCCCUGCUGGAUCGGAACAAUGGUCCAUUUCACUCAACAUCUUGUUCUCACAGUGGCCAACCAGAUACCUGUGGGAAGUCCACAAGCAAAAGCUGAGCGCAACAGCACUCUGAUAGAAUCACUGAAUUAUAGAGUUGCAAGGUAUUCCAAGGGUCAUCUAGUCCAACCCCCUGCCAUGCAGAAAUCACAGGUGAAGAAUUUCUGACAGAUGGUCAUCUAACCUCUGUUUAAAGCUCUCCAGUGGAGGAGAAACCAUCACCUUCCCAGGCAGGCCACAGCAUCCCCCUGAGCCACCAAGCUUGUAACAUUAUAUAUAAAAAAGGGAAAUAAAUAAGAUUACUCUGGCAUGACUUUUUUUUUCUUUUUGAGGAACCCAUGCUGGCUCUUAGUAAUCACAGCAUCCUUUACUAAGUGAUCAUGUACUUAGUUUAAUUAUGUGUUCUAGGACCUUUCCUGAUAUUGACCUAAACUGACCAGACGGUGUUUGCCUGUGUCCUCUUCUCCCCGCUUUAUGAAGCUGGGGACAACAUUUGCCCACCAUCAGCCUGCAGGGAUCUCACCUGUUCUCCAAGGCUUCUCAAAGAUUACAGACAGCUUUCUCAAAGAUUAUUAUCCCCCACCUGCAAUCCCCAACAUCCUGCUUCUGACGGCGCUGUCGUGAUAGGGACGAAAUCCUGAUGGAAAAGGAAAGGAAGCUAAAAUGGCUACAGUUUGCAUGUUUGUCUUUGAUCAGGAAUAGCAAUCAACCAAGCAAAUAUGGUAUUCAUAUUGCUGUUGUUUUUAAAUCUGCGAAUGAAUGAUAUUACAUUGUUUUUACUUUGUUUUGGUCUUACUUGAUCCAAGUUAAAUAGUGGGCAGCAAGACAAAUUAUGUAGUAUUUGGUGGAAGGUGUGGAAUGGAAACAGCCCUGAAUGUGAUUAAUACAGGUAUGGACAAAAACAGCUGCCUUCUUGCACUCCUAGUUCUCAGUGAGGUCCACCUGGUGUGGACACUGACAUCCUUUUGGCACCAGGUUAGGAUUUUCCUCUCUACCCAGGCAUUUAAUGAAAUAUGAAAAGUCUUUAAACUUGAUUGUAAGUUGAUUAAAGACCUGCUCUGUGUUAAGUUUGCACCACUAGAGCACACCUGGAAUGCUUUCCAAUAUUGCAAGUGUUAAAAGAGGACUGGGAAGUCCUAGGUUCAAAACCUCAUCCAUUCCUGAAGCUCAUUGUGUGACUUUAGGCUGAGAGAUGGUGACUGGCCCAUUCUGCCUCACAGACUGGGAGACAGAGCAGGGAUAGAACUACCUAUGCAGACUUCGGUUCCUGGGAGAAUAUGUAGGCUGGCAGAGAAUAAAAAAAAGUGGAUCAAAUUAGCAAUAUUGGUAAAACUUGCAGCUACCUGACUUGUAAUAGAAAUCUAGCCUGUUCAUAAUCCCCACCUGUAUUUCAAGCCUUGAGUCUGAGUCACCAACACUGUAAUAUGUUCAUAAAUAAAAAUAAGAUUGCAAGUGAAUUUCUAAUUUCCCCUUUUCUGGCACCUGCUCAUGCUCAGAUAUUCUUCACCUUAACCCUGUAAGAGUUGCUCCAUGUUAACCUAGUCUAGAGGUGGGCAAUUGUCUUGGCCUGCAUUCAGCAAUGCUUGUGGGGGGGGCACAUAAAAGUGGGUGUGGCCAGUGCUGGCAGUGGGCUGGGUUAUUAACACACACAUUCAAGUCACUCAUUUGACUCCUAACUUUUCCUGCCACGGAGACAGGAACCUUGGCUGCAUUGGGAAUGUUAUAUUCAGUCGAUUAUGUUGAAACUUACUACAAGCCGAGUUAACAUACCCUCCAACAUUUCUUCGAUGAAAAGAAGGACGUCCGAUUCCAUAAUGAUAAUUUUACUAUUUAUACUCCACACAUCAUACUGGGUUGCCCCAGCCACUCUGGCCAGCUUCCAGCAAAUAUAAAAACAUAAUUAAACAUUAAAAAAACUUCCCUAUACAGGAUUGCCUUCAGACGGCUCGAGGGUCGGAUAACUCCAUACCCUCCAACAUUUCUCCAAUGAAAAUAGGGACAUCCUAAGGAAAAGUGGGACAUUCCGGGAUCAAAUCAGAGACCGGAAUGGCUUCUCUAAAUCAGGGAUGUCCCUGAAGAAAUAGGGACACUUGGAGGGUCUGGAGUGAAUGGUUAACAAAUUUUAUUUCUGAAGAGGCCUGGGAGUCUGCAUAAAGUAGUCACCAAGUGAUCCUCCCAGGCCACAUCUCUGAGUCAGCUCUCCAUACCUGUUUCUUUUAAAGGGGACAUUUGCCAGAUAGUUAAUUCAUAAUGCAUACAUUACAUCCCCGUCUGUUUCAAUGCAGUGAAAAUCGCUGUUCCUGCAUUGCUCUGGUUAGCCGCAUUUUGCUUCCAAACUGGAAGGAACUCAGCGACCAAAGAUCGCUAUUAGAGGGGAUGGUAGUUGCGUGGCGAUUCCCGCCCCCUCCCACAGAUGGAAUAAAUAAAGACACAGGACACCAGAAUUUAGGUUAAUGGGCGAAAAAGGGCCACAACUUUAUUGAUUACAGGUAAGAGCGGUAUUGGCUUUAGGCAUUGGCCCUAUCAGACUAACUGGUAUAACCGGGAAGGGUUAAGCACCAACAGGGGGAGCCCCCGAGAUGCACAUCCCUAGGCGCUCCCCGAGGGGUUACUGCUCGGGAGCGCGCUUUAGGCCCUAGCCUCCAUAGGUUUCGGACGAGGCGACGCCCCCCGGAGUCCUUUAAUGAACUACCCUUCAACAUUUGGGGGAGGUGAUGGCGUUCCUCCCCCCCAUCUCAUUUGCAUAAUAAUACCCCUGCCAAUGCCUAACCGCCCAAACCAAAGGUGUUGUGACGUUUUGCUACGAGGUAGGCGAAAAAACCAAGUGGCUUCCAAAAUAUAGCCAAUUAGCCAAAUGGAAAAACUCCUACCAGGCCCCUUGCGGCGACCAGCUGAAGCCCAUAGCAAAGUCCAAAUGAGAACCUAAAGGGCGGGAGGGUGGGAAACCGCAGCUGCUGAAAGAAAAGAAAGGGGCGAGCAUGGGCUGCCCCGACCUUUAAUGCCCCUUACAAGUACUGCCUCCACCGCCAGCCGAUUGGCUGGCACGGUGAAUGAUGAAACUUAAUGACCCCGGGAUUCCCCAAGUCCCGCGGGGCUGCAGCCAGCCCCGCGAUGGUGUGAGCCCGCAACCCCCCCUCCGUAUGUCGGGAGUGGCUUUCUAUUACAUUUCUGUAAUUUGCAACAUGCAACAUGCAGAACUGGGAUGAUUAUGAUGAACUGCUAAAAAUACUCCACAUAAAUAUACCAAUCCAUCCCCAUAGUUAAAAUUAUCUCAAGUCUCCUAUCUUUCUUUGUCUACUUUUCUUUCAUUGGCACAUGCUUUCCUGCACAUACACCCCAAACAAACAUCCGCCAUGAUUAAGUCAAUUCCUUUGGGAUAGUAACAGAAAUAUAGAAUGAAAUGGCAUUUUGAAUAUCACGUAAAAUGUAUUUUUAAACUCUCCUCAAGCACAACAGAGAGUUAGAAAUGCAUGAUUUUUUUUAAUCUAAGGACAUGUGCUAAGCAGGGACACAACUAUUCAGCUAAAGUUAAAGUAAUUUUAAGUAGCCUUGAUUGAAAGGGGAGAGAAUUAAGCACAUGCUUAGCUCUCGUUAAAUCAGACCAAAAAGGGUUUAACCUUUGGGGUGAUCAUGUUCUAUAUUUUCCAUGUUCUUUUGAGUUUGGCUAGCGCUUCAUCAUUUGUAAUCGUAACAAUAUUAGUAUAAAUAAUGAUACAGCAAGAGAAAUAAAGAUUUGGAUGAUACUAAUAGAAUAAUUAGGAAUGACCAUUUAAGACUCUUAAUUUUUGCUCUUUAGCCCAGAUUGCUGUAACUAAGGAGAAUGGGCCACUUUUCCUUUGUGUGUUCAGACCCAGACCUCCCCCCUAAAUAACCUUACAAGUUGUGACGAUUUGCUACACGGCAGGUGAAACCCAAAUGGCAACAGCCAAUCAGCCAAGUGGGGAAAAUUCUUGCCGUGCCCCUGUCCCAACAACAGAUGACACAUGAUGGCAUAGCAAGGUCAAUCGCAAAAUGCCCUAAAAUUAGGAAGAGGUGGGCGGGUGUUCCAAUGCACGAGUCAAAAGGGGAAGCUCUGGGUCAUGUGCAUAGGUCCCUUGGUCCAUUUAGACUGCACCCCAUUGGCCAGAUUAAACCCAGCAAUGAGGGACCUACCAAUCAAGUGUUGUGGCUGUCCAAUAUACCCACCCACAAUCAGGAGGUCAGUCUCCAGGUCUCACCGCAACACGUGCCCUCUUUUAGGGAGGACACGGUUUCUCUCCCUCCCCUGAAUCUUUAAGUACUAAGGCCAUCAUGCAUGGGGACUUGGCAUGCUAUAGAGCAUAUUUUCACCCACACCAAACCCCUAGCUUUACCUCUCUUUGUUGAACUCUUACAGGUCCUGACUACAGAGUUGUGUGGAUUUGCGGGCACAGAAUGGCAAACUGGGCUCAUCAGCAUGCUGCACCAUCUGACAGGAAAACCCACCUCCAUCUGGGUGACAAAAUGCACAUUUCCUGGUUGGGACAGAGGGCCAUGAUGUGGGACAGCUUCAUGCCCUUGGUGACAUCUCAGAUUGCAUCUUCAGGACCUCAAGGUGUGCUUGUCAUACAACUCGGGGACAAUGAGUUUGGUAAGAGGAAAUGAAUUCACCUCUGUCCAACAGCUGUUGCCAAACUGAAUGCUUUGCUUUCAAAGUACCUUCAAAUGUUAAUUUUCUGGUUGGAGCUCCUUGAGAGGCAACUGUGGAAGAAGGGCCACAGACAGACCCUGCCUAGAUAAAUGGGCCUUGGGGAAAAGUUAACAAGGUGAUCUGGUGGAAUGUGCAGACACAUGACAGUUAGGUGAUUCAACACCCAAAGAUUACACACAAAGAUGGAACUGUGCAGGCCAGACUGAGUACAUUCAUCAGUGACUAGCAACAGUCACAACAGGUGACUGUGGAACAACAGGUGGACAUUCAUAAUGGCUUGAUGGAAUGCUUACAGGUAUAAUGGGUCUGGGGGCAAGUUGACAUGGGCUCACCAAUGCAAGGGGAGGAAGAGGCAUUGGGUUGGGUCUUUACAGGGAAACAGGUGGGGUAGGGCCCCUCCUGACCCAUUCCAUGGGUGAUCCCCAUAAGGAAUCUCAGAGGGCAGCACUUCCUAUCCAGAUGCCCAGCUCAGGGGCUGAAGGAUCAUAGCAGCCCCUACCAGUGAUCAAUUAGGGAUCCUCAGUUGCAGCUUUUGCUAUAAGGUGACCAACCCCAAAACCUGGUCCACCCCAACUGUUUCUCAAGCUGGUCCACCCCAACUGUUUGUGGGCUGUCUGUUAUCCUUCUCUUGGUCCUGCCACCCUCUCAGGACACUUGGUAGUGAUGCAGGAGAGAACCUUCUUGGCAGCUGCUCUCAGACUUUGGAACUCCCUUCAUAGGGAAAUUAUACUGGCUCCCUCCUUCUUGUCCUUCCAUCGAAAAUACGAAGACUUUUUUGUUCCAACAGGCUUUUGGGAACUGACUGUUUUUAAGGAAAGGGUUGGUGCUGUGAUUUUUUUUUUAUUGUAUUUUUCUAUUAAUGAUUAAUCGUUUUUCAAUUAUUGCCUCCCCCCCUAUUUUUAGCUAUUCCUAUUUUGUAUGUAAGCCGCCUUGAGUACCUGUCAGGGGGGGAAAGUUGGGGUUUAAAUAAAUAUAUAAUAAUAAUA